CGGGCAGAAAACCUCAGCGCCAAAUUAACUGACCAAGAACUAGUCCCGGCCUGAUUGCUGAACUCACAUGGCAUGGCCUGGUACCUGGCUGCUGGUGAAACGUGAUAAACUCUGAAUGGUAGAGAAUGCCAUCCACAAGGAUUAUUAAUCAUGAAACCAAUGAUCACAUCCCUCUGAAAUGUAGGACACUGAUGGAACAGCUAAUCUCCAAGAAGCUUCCUCCUCAUUUGCCCUUGGCUGGAUAAUCAUCUUUUCAUCUCAACACCAGAUAAAUUCCACUCACCUGCUGUGGGUUCACCACAGUAUAGAUGCUGUCCUAUGAACCAAUAGCUCUCAUCAUCUUCAAAUUCCCUGAACAUGCAUCAAAAUGACAACCUUGUCAAUGUGUCUAAGGAUUCCAGACACACAAAAUCAAGGCUUUGUGCUACACCACUGUUGCCUCAUGUGGGUUCAUAGUUGUGGAAAAGAUUAACUGGGCUGCGGAAGUCAGAAUCCAAAUAGCGAGUCUCAGUAUUACUUGGAUGGCUGGGUAGCUCAUUGCCUUGGAGAGGCUCUUCUUCUGAUGUAUCAUCCAGGUUUAUUUAUUCCCCACACAUUCUGAAGAGGAUUUAAAUGACAAAUUACCCUUGUAACAUUACUAUGUGUAGGUGAAUAUUGUGGAGGCCAGUAAAAUGUUUGCAGACUGACAAGAUUUUUUUAAACUAACCCACGGAAGUCUUAAAAAAUAUCUUCAGUGUUACCAGAGGUACCAUAUGGAGAAAUUACUCUGUCGGAGCUCCAAAGCUACUGCAUAUAUGCUAUCGUUUUGUCCAAAGGAACAAAAACCUGCAUCUCAGGCUAAAAAUAUGUAGUCAUCCAGUAAAUCCCUAAAAGAACUUAGCUUUGACUUCACUGGACACAUCAUAGUGAUUAUAGUUCCCUUGAAUGUAGGUGAGAAGAAUGGACAGAAUUGUGAGGGAGUCAUGCCAAGAGACAUACCCUAAGCAAUGACAGCAGGAUUUCUGUUCAGUAAAAUCCUACCGGCUUGUCAUUAGCUGCCAAGAGUGGCCUGGCAGGUUGCUUUGUCAGAGUCAGUCAGUCACAAACCCUACAAGGCUGCACCCCUGAGGGCAGGAAAGAAAACAGCAUGCCUCCAAAGAACCUGCUUUGUGGUGAACAACUCAAAGAUGAUGGGAAGUAGAAAAUACCUUCCAAAGAGACUGGGGCAGUGCCACAGACAAUGCAGCCUAAUAAUGCUCCAUGGUGUAAAUGAGCCCAGAGCUGUCACAGUCAGAGGAGUCAGAACCCAGAGCAGCAGCAGGCUCUGCAGAGGACAGCUGCAGCCUCCAACCAGAAGGAAGGAUAUUUUAAAAUCCCUUUUUAUCAUGAUACUACCACACAGAUGUUGUAGUCUGAAACAAACAAGAAACAGAUAAAAAUGUAUGACAACCCCAGCAUUGAAUCAGCAAGCAUUCCUUGAGUCACUUUUAAAUAUCAGGCUGUUUUCCCAUGGUGAUGGGAAGGUCACUAACCAGCUGUCUUUGAACUUGAACUGCCCAAGAGGAAACAGAGGUGAAUGAUCACACCAAAAGGAAGGUUACCACUUUCUAGGCUGAGUACCAGAGAGAAGAAAAUGUUUUCUCUUAAAGCAGAAUAGAAGAGAGUCUGGCCAGACUCAGCAGGUGGAAAUGGAAGGAGCAGUGUCCAAGGAAGGCUUCCAGAGGACAGGGGUGACCCUUAAAUUGAGAUCUGAGGACCGGAUCAGUCAAAAGAGGGAUGGAGAACCAGCCAGGCAUAAAGAAUAGCAUGCACAAAGCCCCUUGGCUUUGUGAGGUUCAGGAGAAAAGCUGAACCAUAUUGAAGAACUGAGAAAAGCCAAUGUGAAUAGCUUCACAGAGCACAAAGGAGGUGGUGCACAUUGGACUGGAGAGGUGGCGGGAUCAGACUACACAGGACACUGUUAACUUUCAUAGAAGUCCUUCAGACACCCGUGUUUAUGUAUAUGUGUGUGUGUGCUGCACAUAGAUGGAUGCACAUGUAAGUACAUGUAGAUAUAUGCUCAUAACCAUCACCAUCAAACUCUAGUUUUCCUCAGGAAAGCUUUCAGCAAUUAACACGUUUGCAUGAUACAAGUGUCAGUUUCAUUUCACACCUACCUGCUUUCGUAAUUGUUUGCUAUAUUAACAUUUAAUAAGCAAAAAUAUCACUUAAAAUUUGACACAGCUAGGAAUAAAUAUCAUUGCCCUUUCAUUUUUCUGGUCACCUCACAGAAGGUACUUCCCCCUUACUAAACAAUAAACAAUAUGAUUGACAUGUGAA